rnacentral:sRNA from 1 species
AUCUAGGUCUACUGACUCCAAAGUCAGUCUCCUCUCCUGCAACAUCAUUCUCUGUCUAGCAGGAGAUGAGAACAGGUCUCCAUUUGGAGCCUGUCAGUGGGGUCAGGGACUAAGAUUCAGGCUCAGGUUCUAAAUUCCAUAUCCUUUCUUCCAUACCCUGGUGUUUCCUAUGAACAGACAGAUACUUUAGAGCUGCAAGGCUUGGAUUGCAUGGCACUGCUCAGAAGAUACAGGUCUGGGCUAGGCUGUAGCUGCCCCUCCAGGUGGCUAGACCUUUCCUUUCUGUGUCACCAGUUAACACUGGCCAACAGUUCCUUCCAUUAACUGUUCACUGCUUUCUCCUGUGUCUAACUGAUGCAGUUUAUGACCCAUAACUAAGAGCAGUACCAGGUAUGGCUCUGUUUCCUGUUCAUGUCCCCUGUCCUCUGGGCUGCAUGCAUUCCAUUCUUACAGAAAGAAUACCUUUAACCUAGUACAUCCUGCCACACAUCUGCUUCUACUGUGAAAUUAAUGAGGGGGUAUUACCGAUUCUUCCCUCACCCAUCAUUUACUAAGAUGCUGGUGGUUGCAUUAUAAUCCUCUAAAGCUUACAUUGUCUUUCUGAUUCUUGGUCUUAUCUGAGCAAGUGAUCUAUAAAUAACUCAGUGGCUUUCUCAUGACUGUUUUAAUUAUUAGAUUUUAAUCAAGUGUCUGUUAAGUAUAUCUGCAUGCUUCCACAGGCAUCUGUCUCUUCACAUGGCUGUUCAGUGUGCCUGUCACAAGUUAGCCCAAGUUUUCUGUUCUCCUGCUUCAAACUCAGUUGAGUUGCCUUGCUUUGGCUUUGAUCCCAGCUUUCCAGCGCUGCUCAAUCUGUUGCCAUGGCAGGCCAUUGGAAAGGCUCAGUGCAUCCCCGUGCCUGAAGCCAAGUGAGUGCUCACUCCAUGCAUGCAUGGAGGCUGGGCAGGAGUCUGCCUAACAGCCAGCCAUGUGAGGAGGGAGGGCCUCCUGUUCCUUCCUGUAAGCUGUGUCAUGAGGCAGCGUGGUCAAGUCCUCUGCCAGGGAGUGGCCUGGGCCCAGCCUGGGCAUGUUUUCAUGCCAGGGUGCUAGAGCCUACUGCCAGAUUGUCUCCCUCCACCCCCAAUCAAAAAAUGCUUCCAGAAUGGAAGAGCCAAUUUCCCCUGUAUUGGAGGGGAAGUGGCAGCACCUCCUGAAGCAGUUGGACUUUCAUCACCCUACCUCUGCAUCUGCCUGAAGGACAGAUUUAGCCAAUUAACCUAAGGUUACCUUCCUCUCUGAUUAAUUCCCCAUUCUGUCUUCCCAUGUGUUGUGUCUCGUUUUUUUCCUCCUCCUUCCCUCUUCCUUGCCUCCUCUUCCCCUAAACCUUACAGAUAGCUCGUGAGGCUGAGGCAGCCAUGUUCCACCGCAAGCUGUUUGAAGAACUUGUGCGAGCCUCAAGUCACUCCACAGACCUCAUGGAAGCCAUGGCCAUGGGCAGCGUGGAGGCUUCUUAUAAGUGUUUAGCAGCAGCUUUGAUAGUUCUGACGGAGUCUGGCAGGUAGGGCCCUAAGGGCAGGUAACACUGUUAGGAUAACCAGCCUCUUGCUCCAGCUGCUCUAGGAGAAGACAGCCAGGCCCAACCUGGCACCUGGGCACAGAGCCUCUUUUCAUCUGUAGGAACACUGCCAGGGAGGUCAUGGCAGGGCAGGACCAAAGGGUCCUGUGGCUCAGUAGGCACAGUAGAUGUCACAGGCACUUGGUGAAGGACUGGUUUCUGUGGAGUCUUGAUCUUGGCUCAGCUCAGAAUCUCCAGUGAUUGGGCUCCUCUUGGCCUUUGUCCCCAGGAGCAUGUUCCUCACCAGCUGCCCGGUGACUCUUCCCCUCCCUCUCCUUUUGUGACAAAGCUCUGACAAAGCUCUGUCCCCCUCUCGUCCCUCUGGACGGAUGUUGCUCCCCUAGAUUGCCCGUGAGGCAGAGGCCGCCAUCUACCACUUGCAAUUAUUUGAGGAACUCCGCCGCCUGGCGCCCAUUACCAGCGACCCCACAGAAGCCACCGCCGUGGGUGCCGUGGAGGCCUCCUUCAAGUGCUGCAGUGGGGCCAUAAUCGUCCUCACCAAGUCUGGCAGGUCUGCUCACCAGGUGGCCAGAUACCGCCCACGUGCCCCCAUCAUUGCUGUGACCCGGAAUCCCCAGACAGCUCGUCAGGCCCACCUGUACCGUGGCAUCUUCCCUGUGCUGUGCAAGGACCCAGUCCAGGAGGCCUGGGCUGAGGACGUGGACCUCCGCGUGAACUUUGCCAUGAAUGUUGGCAAGGCCCGAGGCUUCUUCAAGAAGGGAGAUGUGGUCAUUGUGCUGACCGGAUGGCGCCCUGGCUCCGGUUUCACCAACACCAUGCGUGUUGUUCCUGUGCCGUGAUGGACCCCAGAGCCCCUCCUCCAGCCCCUGUCCCACCCCCUUCCCCCAACACAUCCAUUAGGCCAGCAACGCUUGUAGAACUCACUCUGGGCUGUAAUGUGGCACUGGUGGGCUGGGACACCAGGGAAGAUCAACGCCUCACUGAAACAUGGCUGUGUUUGCAGCCUGCUCUAGUGGGACAGCCCAGAGCCUGGCUGCCCAUCAUGUGGCCCCACCCAAUCAAGGGAAGAAGGAGGAAUGCUGGACUGGAGGCCCCUGGAGCCAGAUGGCAAGAGGGUGACAGCUUCCUUUCCUGUGUGUACUCUGUCCAGUUCCUUUAGAAAAAAUGGAUGCCCAGAGGACUCCCAAUCCUGGCCUGGGGUCAAGAAGCAGCCAGCGAGAGUUAGGGGCCUUAGGGCACCGGGCUGUUGUUCCAUUGAAGCCGACUCUGGCCCUGGCCCUUACUUGCUUCUCCAGCUCCCUAGGCCUCUCCGGUUCGCACCUGUCCCCGCCCUCCACUCAGCUGUCCUGCAGCAAACACUCCACCCUCCACCUUCCAUUUUCCCCCACUACUGCAGCACCUCCAGGCCUGUUGCUAUAGAGCCUACCUGUAUGUCAAUAAACAACAGCUGAAGCACC